GGAGAGGUACCGAAGUGGUCGUAACGGGGGCGCCUCGAAAGCGUCUUGUCGGGUAACCGGCACGGGGGUUCGAAUCCCUCCCUCUCCGCCA
rnacentral:tRNA from 3 species